GUAGCUAUGGAGAUUCAUUCCCGUCAUUUCUCAGUAUUCAUUUAAAACUUUUUUAUUUGAUAACUGCCACAGGUGAGUAUGUUGACCUGGUGAAGGCUGGAAUUAUUGAUCCUGUCAAAGUCAUGAGGACAGCUUUAUUAGAUGCUGCAAGUGUCUCGGUUCUACUGACAACCACUGAAGUAGCAGUGGUAGAUCUAGAAGAGGAGAAAGCUAACCCUGGAGCUAGUCGAAUGCCGCAAAUGGAAGACAUGGAUUUAUGAGGAAAACAGAGUUACGCAAAACGUUAAAAGAAGCAAAAUAAUUUCUUGCUAUGCUGAAAAGCGAAUGUAAUAGGAAAAUUUUGGUAAAAUAGCUGCUGCUGGUACUUCUUUUUUCGUUUUUGUACAUUAUUUAGAUUCCAUUCUACAAAUUCUAGCUGUGUUCAGAGAAUGAUUAUAUUCGAAGAUAUGUUUUAUAAAAAUAUUUUUUUUUUUUUUA